rnacentral:rRNA from 1 species
UACGGAGGGUGCAAGCGUUAUCCGGAUUCACUGGGUUUAAAGGGUGCGUAGGUGGGCAGUUAAGUCAGUGGUGAAAUCUCCGAGCUUAACUCGGAAACUGCCGUUGAUACUAUUUGUCUUGAAUAUUGUGGAGGUAAGCGGAAUAUGUCAUGUAGCGGUGAAAUGCUUAGAUAUGACAUAGAACACCAAUUGCGAAGGCAGCUUACUACACAACGAUUGACGCUGAGGCACGAAAGCGUGGGGAUCAAACAGG